CUUCUCCUCAUCCAUUAACGUGUCUUCUCCUCCACGAUCUGUUUCUCAGUUUGCGUUCUAACUUCUCACUUCUAGAUCUGUAACUAAAUUCACAUCUCUGGUUCUAAUUACUUCAAUGAUUGUUAUAUGCUAAUUGUUCUAAUUACACACACUCUCAAUAAUGUUUCCAUUUUCGAUUUUGUAUUCACUGUUAAUUAUUGUUUCUAGCAUUUCGUCUUUCUUGUGGCUUUGAUAAUUGACUCGAUGCUCCUUAUCACUAAUUUCUUCCUAGUAAUUUCAUGGAAGUUCUAUUUUGGUUCAUUUCUUGUAAUGUGUUGUUAUCAAAUUACCGAAUUUAGGGUUUUCCUUUUCUUGAUUUUGGUUUUGGUUCCAUCGAAUUUUGAUUUUGUUAUACUCCCUGUGAUUUUUAAUUUUGUGAUUGUGCCACUGCUUUAAUUUUGGCUUUCAAUUUUUAAUAUUUUUUGCUCAUGCAGAAGUACAUAAAGCAGAACAAUGACGUCACUCUCUGUGCACUCGAGAUGGGGAGUGAGUAAGUUCUAAUAAUAAAGGAGGUUUAGGUUGUGACUUAAUUUGUUGGAAAAAUGAAUGGAAACUAUGUUUAGGUUGUGACUUAAUUCAUAUUGCUUUGUACGUAGGGAAGCAACCAUAUCAAGAAUCUGCAGGAGAGUGAAAUUUUCAAUUACUUGUUGAUGACAUGGAGCAGUACAAAGUACUUGAGAAAAUUGGAAAAGGUGCUUUUGGUUCUGCACUUCUUGUCAAGGAUCAGCAUGAGAAGAAAAACUUUAGUGGUCUUGAUAUGCCAUGCAAACUAAAGAUCUAAUUUUUUGAGAAGAGGGUGUUUUGAAAGAGAGACACAAUUCAAGCUGUGACAAGUUUUGCCAAACAGAACAAGUUGUCUAUUCUCAUGCAAGAACAGAUGAUUGCACAUUUGCAUAUGAAGUACAGAACUGAUAUAGAAGGGCUGCAGCAGCAAGAGAUUAUCGAAUUACUUCUAGCAUCGCUCAUUACUUUUGGGAGAUUGCUGCAAGUUUUUAUAUGGUUGAAGAGGCCUUACAGUUCUUAUUUCAGAAAAUGGAGAGAUCCACAAGCGCAUCUAUCUGUGUUGCUGGAUCCUUCAGUUGUGGAAUCUCCAACUGAGCCUAAGUGGUCCCCUGAUGAUGUAUCGGACAGUGAAAACUACAGAUAAAGCAGCGGCUUCUUCAGGUACUUGGCAACAUGUAUCAAAGCAAAUUGCUAGAAGUGAUUAGGAAUUGGAUCAAGAGGGUGAGAUUCCAUCGCCAAAAGAGUUAGAAAGUAGAUCUUUUGAAGCGAAUAAUAGAGAAGCGUGAUUUUUUUUAUGAUAGAGACUUGAUGUAUUAAGAGUUACAUAUUAAGACUUUCAAUACUUUAUUUGCAUAGGAGUUAUUAUUUUUUAUUUUCAAUACUAAAAAAAUUAUAUAUUAUGUUUAAUAUUUUAUUUAUGAGUUAUGUAAUAUUUUGUUGAU